ensembl:ncRNA F25H8.21 ncRNA
CUCUUGCGUCAGAGGCAUUGUCGGUAAGGGGCGCCUGAUGUGACUCGCUUACUUCCAAAGCUAUUCUUCAUCCAACACGGGGGUCCAGUGAGUUGACUCAUUGGCGGAAUGACUUUGAGAUGGAAGGAGGUAUAUAGGAUGAAUGAUGAUAGCUUGGGAUGAAAAACAAAUGUACAGUUGGAGUACUGUAGGGGUAUUACUAGCAUUUUUUGUGAAUUGA